GCCAGGAGAAGAAGUUGUUCGGCUUGCAGACUUAAUUAAUUAGCAUUAAACAGUCUGGCCACAUCAUCGGCAGCGACAUUCAAAACUUAAAAGAUUUCAUCAAGCGAGCGUGGCUGUCAAGGUUGUCAGCGUGCUCAAAAAAGGGGAUGUCCCUGACAGGUGUUAUUGGGUUGGCCGGCCCCCCUGCGGUUCCAUGUUCCCAACACUGGUCUUUCAGAGAGUAUAGUAAGCGCGCAGUUUUCGGACUACGGCUGGUUGUGGGAGAUCGGAAAAGGCUCAACAAGAGAUGACUGAGAAGACGAGUAGACCCCAGCAAGAUGCGGGGAUUUGAGCCUUUUCCGACAUUGAGUAGGUCGAUAUUGAAGUUCUCAAAACUGUCAAAUAGGUUAUGCAAGUGGACGGUACUACAGAGUAUAGCAGGAUAAGAGAUGAAU
rnacentral:sRNA from 1 species